GAGGGAGCUGGGGAAGGAGGGAGGACCGGCUGCGGUGCCGGCGGGCUGGGCUGGAGGACGGCUUCUUGAUAGGACCGGUGUGAACCACGGAGAUGCAGAGGAGCCCGGAGCCCAGGCUGCUGAAGACCUCUCCCGGAGGCCGCCGGGGCGGGCCGUCCGCGCUCCCCGGACGCCAGGAGCGAGCGGGAGGGCCAGGUGCAGACACAGGCUGGGCUGGCAGUCCUGGGACGUGCCCUGAGCUUUGCCCUUCACGGAGAAAGUGACCGGACCUCUGGCCCACUGGGGUCUGCUGUCCCCGCCCUUUCCUCGUGUAAGCCCGACCCACUCCUCGCCUGAGCUCUCCACGACACUCCUUUUUGACCUGCUGCCCCACUCUCAAAUAGAAAAUGAAAACAGAUUAGCUCUUUAAUCAACUUGGUGCAGUUUUGCCUUCCUGAGAUUCCAAAAGAGAGCCACGUACGGUGACACCUCGGGAGGCUGAGGCCAGAGGAGCUCAAGUUCCAGGCCAGCCUCAGCAACUUAGGCCCUGCCUCAAAAUAAAAGAAAGCGCAGCUCAGUGGUGCAGCACCCCUGGAUUCAAAAUUCC
rnacentral:lncRNA from 1 species